rnacentral:lncRNA from 1 species
AAACUCGUUGCAGAUGUGCUCCUUGAUGAUGUUGUUAAUGGCUCAUAUGAUGUUAUUGUGUUGCCGGUAUGAGAGCUACAUUUGUUCUAUCAAGCCAACAACACCUGAAAAUGCAGUCUGAUUUUUUUAACAUUUUGUACAUAUUCAGGGAGGACUUGGUGGCGCGCAAGCCUUUGCGAAAUCAGGAAAGUUAAUUAAUUUGCUGAAGAAGCAGCGUGAAUCUAAUAGACCGUAUGGAGCAUUCUGUGCUUCCCCUGCUUUAGUCUUGGAACCACACGGCUUGCUCAAGGUAGCAUUUUGAGAUGCGUCACUGCGUGUUUAGUGUUCAAUUUGGGUAUAUGCAGCUAAGGAGUAUAAAGCUUUUCUCCAAAAUUCAAGCAUAUUGGAAGUCAACAAAUUCAUGAAUUCCUGAAAUUUUGCCUCGAAAUUUGUAGUGCUUCCAUCAGCCUCGUCUCUUCUUUGUGUACCUCGUUUAGUUUGAAGGCUACCAUUCUGAUGUCAAAAUAUUUGGUUUACCCUGCACUGGGUAGUUUCAUGUCCGUUUUUGUCACUAAUACCUACUCAGUUUUAAGUAUGUAUUCUUUUUCACCUUGAUAUGAUGUCUUUUGCUCUCUUCAGGGUAAAAAGGCUACUGCGUUCCCUGCACUGUGCGACAAACUGACUGAUCCAAGCGAGGCAGAGAACAGGGUGGUUGUGGAUGGCCAUCUCAUCACUAGUAGAGCGCCAGGAACCUCACUGGAGUUCGCGUUUGCUAUUACAGAGAAGCUCUUUGGGCGCGAGAAGGCUCUAGAACUUGCAAAGUUCUUGGUUUUUGUUCGUUAGUGGGCUUGGAACCGGACUCCCUCUUACCUUUCUCGUCCCCUUCCCCAAAGAAAUCCGAUGAUGAACUAAUCGACCUUGUGUAUGUAGACGUGUAUGAUAUAGAAUAAAUUUUGGAGCUUGGGUGUUCUGAGAUUUUCAGUUUUCGUAUCUUUUGGCUUUUACGUUGUCUUUGCAAUGGGAUGGCUUAUAUUGGUCAUCAGAGGUCAAAACAUUUGCACUAGUUUUUAAAGUUCCAAGAAUACAACGCGCUUAAGCAGCCAGUCAAACGAGCUGGUUGCAUUUGUCAUUUGGGCCUUUAAUGUCGGAGUAGUCAAGAACCAGAUUCAUUUUCUCAUGGAUGAUGUGUUGGGAGUUGGGACAGUGGUUUCACUGGUUUGGGACUUCUGAGACCGUUAUCCGUUUUGAAGUUGCUCUGCCCUUUCCGAUUGCAGCGAGAAGCUGAGGUGGGCACACGAGUUUUGACGUUUCUUCUUCUUGUCAGUCAAAACACAAAAAGUUGUAGAUGUAGCGAAUUUUACUUCUCCCGAUUUUACUUCUCCCGAUUGGGGGGGGGGUUUGGGUUUGGUUUAUAAGUCCCUGGAAGGACCUCAAGAGUUGCCGGCUUUUGAGGUUUCUUCUGGGAUUAGGUUUAUAAAAGCCGAAUUUCUAGACUUCAGUUUAGAAAAGGUCAAGAUUUGGAAAACAGCAAGAUCACGCGGGAGAUGGACCCUGCAUGCCGUCUCUAAAAUUUCGAUUGAGGGAUAACAUUUUGUUAUUUAAGCAAAUGAAUCUUGGAAAAAAUUAUGAAUUUUCCAAAGAAAAACCUUGUACGUGCCAAAUUUCCCCAUGUACAAAUUAUGAGCUCGAGAAGCUCCCGUUGUUGUUGUUGUUGUGGUUUUGGGUCCUCCGUUGUUUUUACCUACAAAGAAAUUGGCUACCAAACGUGAAAAGAAAAAAAGCAAGAACUUGAUGCAACUGUGCUGUCAAAGAAAACUUGCACUCUUGGACAUGUAAUGUGUGUUGUUUCCGGUACCUUAACUCUGCUAAUCUGCUUGCAAUGAGUUGGAUUCUCUAAUGUUUGGUCAUUAAUUUAUUGUGCAUGCAAAAUAUUGGGAUCUUAUUAAUCUUUAUGACUAAAAGUAGUAGUAUUUUCCAACGUCUAUCAGAAAUUUCUUGAAUUAAAUAUCAAGUGCCUUUUCUUUCGUGCAUAUGUAUAAAAGUUCAAAAAAAAUAUAGUAAUUGAUUCCUUACAACGUGCUUCAAUCAAUCUAGUGGGAAAAUCGCACUUCAUGGGCGUGCAAAUUAAGAAAACAAUUAAAAUAAAAAAUUAAUAGUAAUGAAAAUUAUUAUUAGCAAACUUUUGCUUUUGUGAAAGUAGAAUAAUAAAAUCACACAAAAUUUUAAUAUGAAAUUCCUUCCUCAUGCUUUAUAUAUAAUAUACAAAUCAGCCAUUUUGCAGCAAAGUUUAGAUAAUGAAAAGUUUGAGAGAAGGAUGAGUUGAAUGAUUAAGAAAAAGUAUGAAUGGCAUUUUCUUUGUAAUUUUUUAUAAAAAAUACUGUAACGAUUUGAUAUAUAUAAAAUAAAAAAAUAAUUAAAAAUAUAACGAUUUAAUAUAUGUGAUAAUUUUUUACAAUCCAAACACUUCGCUGACCGGUGUUGUCUGACGACUUUUUGCUAACAUAAAACUACCACGUGUUAUUCAUUCAUGUUGAAGGUCAAUGGUCUAAAAUUCUUGUCCCUUUUACACGUGACAGCUCUCGCCGUAAAUCAUUUGCGAUUACCUUUGUUCGGUUUUUACUACUACAAAUAGGGCUGCAAACGAGCCGAGCCGAGUCGAGCUUUGAGCUAAUCGACCCGAGCCUCGACUAAAUUUUACCAAGCUCGAGCUCGAGCUCGAGCUCGACGAGCCGGCAAAUUUCGAGCUCGAGCUCGACUCGAAUCAAGUCGAGCCGAGCUCGAGCUCGAAAAAAAAUAAAAAAUAAAUAUUUUAUUUAAAAAAUAAAUAAAUAAAAUAAUAUUUUUUUCUUAAUAAAUAAUAAAAUUUUAAGGACAUAUACGUAAUUUUACUAUGAAAAUAAAAAAUAAAAAAUAUAUAUAUAAUAUACGUAAUUUUAUUAUUAAAUAAAAAUAAAAAUAAAAAUAAAUAUAUAUAUACCCAAGCUCGCGAGCCGGCUCGCGAGCUAACGAGCUUAAUAUUCUGAGCUCGAGCUCGAGCUCGAGUUUGACUCGAGCCGGCUCGAGCUCGACUCGAGUUCGAUUAACAUCGAACUCGACUCGAGCUUGACUCGAGCCGCUCGCGAGCGGCUCGAUUCGUUUGCAGCCCUAUUACUACUAUAUAAGCAUUAGAGUACAGAAUUUACACUGCUCAAACUCUUUACCUUGGCCUGCACUUGCCUCUUGUUCGAUCGUUGCAAUGACAAUAAAUUAAGAUUGGCCCAAUUUGUUUUUCGAAUGUAGAAUUGUCAUUGCAAAGAAUCUUCACUAUAUUGAGCUGGUCGUGACAAUUAUUCAGAUGGGCUCCCCCUUUUUAGGGUGGCAAUAGGGGCGGGUGCCCGCGGAGGCUAAUGGGGAAAGGAUUGGGGCUGGGGCUGGGGCGGGGGCGGAGGGCGGGGGAGUGUACUCCCGCCCCGCCACCCGUUUUAAAAAAAUAAAUAUAUAAAAUUUAUAUGUAUAUAAUUAUAUAUAUAAUAUAUAAUUUAAUUAGUUACAAAUUUAUGAUAAUGAUAUUCUUAGUUAUAUGUAUUAUAUAAUGACUAUUAGUAUAUAUAAUAUAAUUGAUAUUAUUAAUUAUACUAAUAAUUAUAUAUGUGUACUAAUAUAAAUUAUUAAUUGGUUAUAUUAAAUUUAUUAAUACAUUUAUACUAAAUCCCUAAUUACACUUAAUACAAUAACAUUUUUUUUUAAAAAAAAAGCACAAGCACAAUAAUGAAUUAGUGAUUGUAUUUGUGCCAAAAGUGAAAACUUGACUAUUUUAAUUAUAUUUAUUUCAUCAUGUUGGAUUGUAUUCAAAUAAUUUUUAUUUGAUUAUUUUUAUAAGUUUCAAUUGUAAAAUUACAAUGAAUAAUAAUUUGAUGAUAUAUUGAUAUUUUACUACUUAAUUAUUUGCUAAAAUUUAAUCAUAAUAAAAUUAUAUAACAAAUUUUUAUUAAUCCGUGAAAACACCACGGGGAAGCGGGGCGGGCGGGACGGGGCGGGGGGAGGGGGAACGGGGGCUGGGGGAGGGGUCCCCCGGCCCACCCCGCCCGUUGCCAUCCCUACCUUUCUCCUCCUUUUUCCAUUUGCUGUCUCCCUCGAAACCAAACAAAACAAAGACAAGAAUUACGCGUAGCUAUUAACCCAUCAGCUCGUGUAUUAAUGAGUUCCUACCAAUCUACAACUGGAGUUGGAAGUUGGAACUGGAGCACAGAACAAAAUCAGUUAACGGCUCUGACCAGGUAAAAACUAAAUGCUGGAAUGAAACUUCAAACUUGACUAUUUCUAAUUUUAUUUUAGUCUGUCUUGCGAAAAUAAAAGCAUCCCAGCCCACUUUUAAGCCAUUACAAUUCUCCUGCACCAGCCCUCUCCUGGUUCACCAAGAUAGUACCGUAAAGGUGAGCUUUCCAUCUCUUUGUUUCUUGAAGAUAUUUUUGGGCCUUCUUUAGCAUGUGCAAUAGCGGAUAGCUUUUCUCUGAACUUCGGCGAUUCUCUCAAUCCUUUUCAUGCUUGAUUAGUCAAGCACCUUUGAUGAAUUGUGAAUUUUUCUGUGAAUCUUGUUAUAGACCAUAUUCUUAUGUUUGUAGCUUGAUAAGUGCAUGUUAUCCUUGGUUUCAGUGAUUCUUAUAGCUAGUUUAAAGGUCAUUUAUAUCCUUAUUGGCAAAUAAUUUAUUAUUAUGAUGUCUUUGCAAAGGUAGCUGAUUGGCCCUGUUGAAUCUGGCUCAAUUGGAUAUGAAUUAUGAACAGGAACCAGUAAUUAUAAUCUAAUGUGUGUUUGCUGAAUCCUGCUUUUCUAAAACCAAUGCGCAAAACAAUAUGGUAAAUGCUUGUGUAGGUGCUAUGAUGCCUUUUGUUCCCUUUUACGGAGAAUUUAUGUAGUUUUCAUUCGUCAUUGGUGCAUAUUAGUUCUUGCGGAUGGCUUUGACUUGGUCCUGAGGUACUGUGCCUCGCAAAUUCCUCUUUUAAAUGAUGAUGCAAACGUUGCCUUUGGCCUGGUAAUACCGAUAGGGUCUUCUCAGGAGAGGUCUUAGGAUUCACUUCUUGAUCAAUUUCAGAAUUAGAACUUAAGCCUUUCUGUUUCCUUUUCUUUUUAUUCCUUCAAUUUGUACCUUCAAAGAGAUCAUUUCUGCUUCACUUAUCUUAUAGUUACACUAUGUGUUAUCGAUAGCAAAAUAGUAAUCUUAAUUUAUAUAAAUCUUUACCUGACCUGUAAUGUCAGAUCAGAACUUGACAAAGUUCUAAACUUUACAAAUUUAUUUGUCACAGUUGUUCUUGACAGGUAGUUUGUUCUGAUUCGAAUUCUUAAUUGGCACACGAGAUGGGUGCAGGGAGUUGUUUUACUUUCUGUUUCAAACAAAAAGCUUCUUCUCCAACUUGGGGAACAAUAGAACUUGAGGAAGGUGGGUUUCUGGAAGAGUCACUUGGUACUUUAACAUCCAAUCUAUUAUCCAGAUACCGAAUUGGAUAAAUUCAUGUUGUCUGAAGCAUGAUAAUGGUCCUUCGUUAAUUCUUGACUUCAAUGAUGAGCUCACAUUUCUUAAUUCUUGAUCACUUUCUUCAAUAAAUGCUUGCAACAGCUCUUGAACAUGUUUUUAUGGCAUAUAUACUAUAUACAAUGAUGCGUUUUUUAUAUGCAUGAAACUGUUCUAAGUAGCUUCAAAAUGUAUACAGAAGGUUUAAAUGUAGACAAUGCUAGGCUCUACAGCUACGGAGAUUUGCGAAUUGCAACUGAAGAUUUCAGUCCUGUAAAUAAAAUUGGGAAAGGAGGGUUUGGUUCAGUGUAUAAGGUAAUACUUUUUGUUUCAUAUCAUCCUUCUUUGGGGAAUUACUUUGCUACUGGUGCUUGAGAUAUGUAGUUGAAUUGUCUACUAAUUGUCAGGGGAGGCUAAAAGAUGGAACACUGGCUGCUAUAAAAGUGCUUUCUGCUGAUUCAACUCAGGGCGUACGAGAGUUCUUGACGGAAAUAGUGACAAUUUCAGGUCUAGAACAUGAAAACCUGGUAAAGUUGCAUGGCUGUUGUGCUGAAGGGGACCACAGGAUAUUGGUCUAUGGCUAUCUUGAAAAUAAUAGCCUUGCUCAGACUCUUCUUGGUAACUCAUCGCCUCUUGUCAUUUCGAAAACUGUAAUUUUUAUUUGAUUUAGGUAGGUUAUAAAUUUCAUUAUAUAUAGGUGGUCACCGCAGCAGCAUUCAAUUUAGCUGGAAAACGAGGACUAAGAUAUGCAUAGGGAUUGCUCGAGGGCUUGCAUUCCUCCAUGAGGAAGUCCAACCCCCUGUUAUACAUAGAGAUAUAAAAGCAAGCAACAUUCUUCUUGAUAAAGACCUUACACCAAAGAUUUCAGAUUUUGGUCUAGCGAAGCUCUUUCCGUCUAGUUUAACCCAUAUUAGCACACGCGUUGCUGGGACUCUGUAAGUUUAUUUUCAGUAUAUAUCUAAACUCCUUCCUCUCAUAUAAUGUACUGCAGAAGAAAAUGGACAAAGAAAGCAAAGAGUUUGCAACAAAUGCAAUUAAUCUAUAUGACUCAAAGUCUAAUGUAUUUUUUACUUAUAAUUUCUACAUUGUUGCAUGUUCUUAGAGGUUAUUUGGCCCCUGAGUAUGCAAUUCGAGGCCAGUUGACACGGAAAGCUGAUAUAUAUAGCUUUGGUGUUCUCCUUUUGGAGAUUGUCAGUGGUAGAUGCAACACAAACAAGCGGUUGCCUGUCGGUGAACAGUUUCUUCUUGAAAAGGUAUGCAAUUCUUCAUUUGCUCAUACUGAGAGGUUUAUUCCUUGGACUAUUAUAAGUAGAAUAUAUUUUUGAAUUACCAUCUGAAGAAGUUCUUGCUACAAGAAACAAAUGAGUAGGAUAUUAACUGAUGUGCUGAGUAGAUGAGUACUAAUUUGUCUACUAUGGAAGAAUGGAUUAAGAUACCUAGCCUCCACCUUUUAGAACCUGAAAUGAUGAGUAUAAACCAAUAUUAGAUAAUGAAGCAGUUCCUACUGAAACUCAAGUUGCCAACCUAUCUGUCCUUCCUUUUCACUUUUUUCCCAUUCUACAAUGUAAACAUAUCUAAGUAAUAUAAUCACACAUUUUAGGUAUAGCUGAUGAUAGCAAAAUGCAUGGUCUUGAUGCUACUAGUGAAUGCCUUUGGAUUCAUCUGUUAUCCAUUAACUAUGCCUUUUAGCCUGAUUCUGGGCCUUUGCUCAUUUUCUGUCAACAAGCAGGUCAUGACAACUGAGGAGAGAUAAGUGAAAGUAGUCACUGAACUAUUUAUCAACAUGGGGAGUAGCUGACAUCUGUAAUCUAUUUGACGGGAUAGUUGUAAAACCGCUCUUUGCAUUAUAUAAUCACCAUACUCUCUCGUUCCACAACCUUUAACCACCAUGUAUUACCAGUUGAAUUCCUUAUCAUCCUUAUAGUUGAAUGUGCAAGUGUCUACCUCACUCAUGAUUUGAAAGUGUUUGUUGUAUCAAGAAGGUCUACAAGUGUAUUAACUUAGUGGUUCGUGUUGGCAUUUUUCUGAUCACUAUGUUUUCUUUUGCCAGAUGGCUCUAUUGGAGAGAUGAAAUGUUGUUUGGCCACAAUUAAUAUAUGAGAUGAUGAUGUUUGAAUGCAGCUUAAUGUUUCAAAUCUCAAGUAGGAGUUCACAAUAAUAACAAUUGGAAACUGACUGUUCAUGUGUGCAGUUCCAUAUUCAUUUUCUUGUCUAGUUAUUUCUGCUGAUAAUUGGCCUUCCCUUUUUCCCUUGUUCUCCUUUCCAUUCCCUGAAUGACUUCUUAUUUGCAGGUGUGGGUUCUUUUUGAGAAAGGAGAGCUAGUUCAAAUGGUUGAUCCUGAUUUGGGAGGGGAUAUUGAUGUUGAUGAGGCUACCAGGUAUCUGAAGAUUAGUCUUUUAUGCACCCAAGAUGUGCCUAAAAACCGGCCAUCCAUGUCUACCGUGGUGAAAAUGUUGACUGGAGAGAUAGAUUGGGAUGAAAAACAGAUAGCAAAACCUGGGAUUAUAGAGGAGCUUAUGAUUCUGAGGCAUAACAGUACCACAACUUAUACAGUCUCUGCUGGCUCUGGAAAGAAGGGAAAUUCAUCAUCUUCUGAGAACACAACCAUGACAUAUCCCUCCAUGAGUUUCUCUUCAAUAUAUGACCGGGACACUUCAAUAGAUGACCGGGACAGUUAGCUGCUAGAAGACUCAAACAGCAGCUUUGUUUAUCCUUCUAGGUUGCAGUUUUGAGCACUGAAUCUCUGUACAUUAUUUAAGGCUUCUUUUUCUUCCCUUAUUUUUUUUCAAUGCUCGGGCAAAUGAGCGAAAUAGACGCAAUGACAGACCACGCAACCAUGACCGUAGCAGAAACUUUGAGAGAAGAAACAUGGGCCAAGGGGGGCCUGGAGGGCCUAGGAACUUUGGUCCCACCAAUACAGGGGACAUACCCCCCAAUAACAUGGGAGGUGGUGCACCCAAUAGGGGUGGCAUGCCACCCAACAACCUCGGUGGCAUGCCAUCCAAUAACAUGGGAGGACAACAAGCACCGGGCUACAUGGGACAGCAACCGUCAAACUACAACAUGGGACAACAGCCACCAUCCUACAACAUGGGACAACAGCCACCAAACUACAACAUGGGACAGCAGCCACCACACUAUGGGGGACAACAGCCACCAAACUAUGGGGGACAACAGCCCCCAUCAAGCUAUAUGGGCGGAAAUCAGCACAACAUGGGAGGUGUGCCAAACAAUGCAGAAAAUUUCCAAUAUGAUAAUGCACCGAAGAGUGGAGGAGCACCUUAUCAACCUGGUCCUGGGCCGAAUCAGAACAAUUAUGCACCAAACGUGGCUGGUGGAAAUCCUUACCAGAACCAGAACAUGCCUGGAAGGGAUAUUCCACCGCCUCAAAACUAUCAAUAAGCAGACUGUGGAUGUAAAUGAAAUUUGUUAUCUUUAGGAUUUUGUCUUGAAAGCCUAAGCUUAUAUGGUAACCAGUGAGAUGAUGUUUAGUUUGGUGAUAUGUUUAUUUUUGGUUGAAUGGAAGUGGUUUAACAGUUGGGAGGAGAGUGGCAAGAAUAUUUUGCUCCUGCUGCCUUGAAUGUGAUGUACAAUUGGUAUAUCAUUGGCAGGCAAGUUACCCAAACCUGUAUUUUUCAUGUCCGUGGGAGCUCAGGUGAAACUUGUUAGCCUAUCAUGCUUGUUUAACCAAUAUUAGUUUCUCAUCAUGAUCUGAAAUUCGAAAUACAGCGCAAAAUGUUACUGAAGCGCUAAGCUAUCUGCAUACUUGUCCAACAUGGCUUACCAGCUGUUCACGAGAGUUCUGUAUAUCAAUGGAGAGGUUACUGGUGGAGAGAGGAUGUUAAACCAGUGACGUGUCCAUGUCUCCUCUAUCUUAGGUUAUAUUAAAAGUUAGUAAAAACAGAGUUAAACAUUGACAAUGGAAAUGAGUUCCCCUUCUUUGUCGAUUUCUUUACCACCUUAAUUCAGUAAUUUAACUGCUCGCAGUUCCUGCUUCUCUGAGAAAUAUGGAGAAAAAUAGGGAGAGCGGCGGGAACAAAUCAAAUGGAGCAAAAAUAGGGAGCGGGUUGGGACAUGGAAAUGAGUCAGCCAGGAAUAUAACGCACUCUAACCCCUAAUUCAGAAUGAGAAUUGUCGGUUACAAAGCAGAAUUCUAAAAGAUUACAGUAAUCUAUUUCAUUUUCAUGUUCACUUAUUGGAGAAUGACAACAUUCAUAUAUUGAGCUAAAGAUCAUAUUUAUAAUGCGUAAAGUGCUCCAUUCUCAUUGACUGAUUAGGAUCUUAGUUUAUUCUACCAACCCUCUGCUUUGGUCUGUAACCAGGAAUUAAUUUCGGAGUUGUCUUGAGUUGCAGAUUCAGCUCUUUUGAUCUUGGCUAGACGGAUUUGAUCCGCUAGAGAGACUUGGUGUUGUUCUGUUCUUGUGAACAAUGCAUCCAACUUUCCUACAUCCACGUUCUUCCAGGUUCGUUGGUGAUGACUGCUGAAAUGACUGCUAGCAGGUUUCAGUUUGUGGAUCUGAAAACAGCCAAAACAACCUCUAUGAACCACUACACUGAUAACACGAUCUAAGAUUUGAAACAAAAAGAAAAAGAGUACAGACAACAGCAUCCAGUUCUGACUGAAAUUUGAUACAACCCAACUAGAGAGUUCAUCAUAGGUAACUCCAAAGCAUGGGUCCUCUUCAAAGGAAACAAAUCAGUACAAAUAAUCUGCUCCUAAAUGCAACAUAUGUACUAAAUUAUGAACCCCUCAUUUAAAUUCUUCUAAACAGCAAAAUGUAUCAGUAACUAAAACAUGAGCACCGUACGAAGGCAUAGAGUGGUGUCCUUUUCAAAACCUAAAGUGCAAACGAAUUGUCAUUUAUUUUUGGCAAAUUCAUGUCUAGAGAACAAAAUUAAAACUAUAUCUAGCUUCAUUCACGUGGGGUUUCAAAGGUUUGUACCUUCGUCAGUUUUGCCUUCAAUUUAGAUUCUUGAUUGGCAGCAAAUUCUUCUCUCUCUUCCUUUGACCUUUUCCUUUUUCUAACUUUUGCCUUCUGCGCUAGUUCCCUUUUCCUUUGAGCAAGUAUUUUCUUUCUUUCAUCUCUUUCCUUUGCUGCUCUUUCUGCUAGUACAUGUGCCAUUUCCUUUUCCUUUGCCAUUUGUGCUGCACGCUCAAGAUGUUGGAGAGCUAUUGCUCUUUUCAUCUUCUCGUAGCUAUCCCAAUCUAGUUCUUGUUGGUCACUACCCCCUGUCUUAGCAACUCUAGCAAUGCUUUCAGCCCAUAACUGCAAAAGUUUUUCCUCUGACCUUUUCCAUUUCAAACGUUGUCCCCACAGCUUCUGCAGUGACCUGCUUAUUCUUGUCUUAGUCUGAUUACUGCAAAACAGAAUAACACUUUAGUUCUAAAUCUCCCAAGCUCAAGAGUCUUAAGUGUCAAUGUUGAACAUGGUAUGUCAAGCAUCCAUGCAAUGGUACAAACAGUUAGAGAGCUCAUGCUGUGUAUGAAAAGGGUGAAUUUUGGGGUCAAAUACAAGGAAAAACAGGGUAAUUGAAAAAUGGAGAAACAAAGUAUUUGUGAUGUGAAUGAUGCAUCUCAAUUCAAAAGGUCUAAGUUAUGAAAUAUCUUGGCAGUGGAUCUUACAUAAAAUUGUAGGCACUAGAACAUGUUAAGCUGAAUAUAAAUCAUGCAAAGUUGCACCAUACAUUCAAUUAGUUCUCUUGGGUGAGUCAACUGCAGCUAUAGGCCAUUCACAAUCUUUCUAUGGCAGGUUCUAGCUCUUAUAUGUAGCCACAUGUUAAAUUAAGAAGAAAGUUUGUCAACCACCGGAUAACAAAAGAAUUACAUCUUUAAUCCAGUCAAAGACAAGAAAGCACAAUACUGGUGCCUAAUGACUAUUCACCUGAAGUAGUGUUCCAGGAUUUUAGCAGCUCCUGACUAUAUUGGACUACAAGUUUGGGAAUAAUGCACAACAAAUUUCAUACUUGUAUAAUCUGCAUUUUAAAUUUAAAGAAGAGAAAAAAAAAGCAAAUAUACUGCAUAAGUAUCAAAAAAGCAAAUUGACUAUUUAGAGAGAGAGAGAAAAUAGAAAGUACCUAAGCGAGCGAGGGCAUUCAGACAUCUUCGCUCUUACCUGAUAAUUUUUACAGAGAAGGAAAAUGUUACAGAAAAUUAUAGCAGUAAAAGAAUGUGGUUUCACGGACCUUUGCUGCUAAUAAUAUACGGGAAGAGUUAGUGCAAAAUGUAACAGUAUGACCAGAGGAGCAGCCAUCUGAUGUCAAACACAUACUUUAUUGGCAGACUGUAAUCAUGAAGUAAUAAAUAUUUUCUAAAUUAGUAGGUUCUUACACGACUUCACCUUGGGAUCUCUCAAGGCUUCUUUUGUCCUUCGGCUGAUUAUCUCCCGUGUCUCUGCAUAUGUAGUAAGAGAAUUUAGAGUGACAAAAGCUUGAAGGAGAAAUAUUUCUAAUGCUGUCAAGGAGUUAAACAUGGUACCUUCACUGUGUUUUCUGCCUUUGUUCCAUGGGACUUUUCCUUUAUUUGCUAGUCCAAUCCUUUUUCUUCUUUGCAUUUCCCUUUCAUUCUCAGAGUUAGAAUUCUUUGCCAGAUUGGAAAGAUUAUCCUGUCGAGUAUCUUCAGUUAAAGGUUGGUCCUUUAAUAAACUAGAACAGUUUUUUUGACAAGAAUCCACAACGUGAAAUGUCUCCGCAAUACUAAUGCUGGCCGGAAAACUUCUACAAUGAUAAGGCACCAAGCACGAACUAACACAGGUAACCAAGGAAGAGACCUUCUUCACACGAGACACACCAACAAUCAACACUGUUGUGCUUGAUCGUGCUCGUAUGUGUUCAACUGCAUAACCAGAAUUUGGUACUAGUAGACUGUUGUCCUUGUGAAUAGGAGUGGAGAGCUUCCUGAGAGCAAUGUUGUGUCACUAAUAAACUAAACAUUCAUCAGGGCACAAAUUUUCUCUAUCUGGCUACGUCAUAACAUAAAUGACAGUACAGAAACCAGUGACGAGAAAAGCUUUAUUAGCAAGUUCAGAUGGGAAACGAAUCUUUUGACAAUUUAAGCUUCAUAUCAACCAAUAUUCAGCGCCACCAAGACCUACUUUUUAUUUUCCCAAGUAAAUGUCCCUAAUUAUCUGAAUAAACACAAAACAGGGAAAAGGUUGUAUUCAACUACUUACAUUCUAUUUAAUACCGUCACCACACAUGCUAAUAUGUUAGCCAUAAUCUUCAAGCAGAAAAGCAAAUUUCCAAACUGGUUUUCCAAUAUUUUCUGCAUUUGUAUAAAUAGGUAUCAGUAAUUGCACUAAAACCAUCCAGACCACUCAAUUUUGCCGGGGAAAAGAGCACAUAAAAUCUACUUGGAGUUCUAUAACUUGAAAUGCACAAUGUGGGAUUAAAUUAGCAAGCAAAUUCUGGAAAGUGGAGGAAACAUGACAGGAGAUCAUGAAAGAUUGCAACUUGGGAAGCUAUGAAUUGAAAUUGCAAAAACCCACAUCAAGAAUUUGACAGAAAAUACAGAGGCAAGUGAUGGGGAGCCUUACCAGGGAGACAAGAGCAUUGCAGUAAAGAAAAUGUACUACGAAUAGUUAUCUUAUUGAAUAGCCCCCAGAAUUCCAAAAGCAAUCGUCAGAUGGAGGAGGGGAGAACUGGCACUGGUUGAGUGAACAGUUUAGAUGCUCGAUGCAAGCAAUGAGGAAAAUCCUACGAUUGUCUUACACGCGCACCACGUAGCGGGUGUUGGAAAUCAUUAUCUAAUUUUUACACGCAAGCAUGAAAAUUGCCCUUGUUUUUGCCCUUUUUUACCUGUGUGUGUGUAACAUUUCAUGCAUUUUGGGUCGCUAGUUGUAGCUUUAACUGCUAAGCAACAUGAACAACCCAUAGGCUGAAAAAUCUUAAUCCAGAAUUUCGUCUUCCAACAAGCCCAGCCCAACCCAAUUCAAUUGGAUUCUUCUCCGCCGCUCCACGUCAUCUUCGAUCCGUAUAAAUGGAAACGCCCGUCUAAUUUCCACUUCAAUUCUCGGUCCUGACUCUGACUAGGAUUAGGGUUUUAACAUCUCCUUUUUUUCACUUUCCCUUCCUAUUACAUCAGCAAUGGAUCCGAUUAAGAAGAGGAAGCUCGAUGAAAACGGCGUUCUAUUACACGAUCCAGACGGCGCCGUCGCCGCAGGAAUGGUACCUUUCAAGCUUUCCGUCGAAGACGCGCGUAAAAUCCUCGAACCCUUUUCCCGCGAACAGCUACUCGAGAUCGUCCAAUCAGCCAUCCUUCGCCACGUGGACGUUCUCGACCUAGUACGAUCCAUCGCCGACCGGGACCCAGCACAGAGGAAGCUCUUCAUCCGCGGCCUUGGUUGGGAAACCACGACGGACAAGCUACGAGCUCUCUUCUCCCAAUACGGUGAUCUCGAAGAAGCUGUUGUAAUUCUCGACAAAGUCACUGGAAAAUCGAAAGGUUAUGGCUUUAUCACUUUCAAGCAUAUUGAUGGGGCAAUGGCAGCUCUUAAGGAACCUAGUAAGAAAAUUGAUGGUCGGAUGACGGUUACUCAGCUAGCGGCUGCUGGUGUGUCUGGUGGGCCGGGUGGCGGAGGGGGGAAUAAUCAGGUGGAUGUUUCGGAUAGGAAGAUUUAUGUGGCAAAUGUACCUUAUGAUAUGCCGGCUGAGAGGCUGUUAGCUCAUUUUUCCAUGUAUGGCGAAAUAGAAGAGGGACCAUUAGGCUUUGAUAAGGCAACGGGGAAAUCGAGAGGGUUUGCUUUAUUUGUGUAUAAAACUGCCAAUGCUGCGAGGGCGUCUUUGGUGGAUUCUGUGAAGAAUAUAGAUGGGCAUCAGUUGAACUGUAAACUUGCUAUUGAUGGGAAGAAGAAGCCAGGUCCUGGAGGGCCUCAGGGUGGUAAUGAAGGGAACAAUGAUGGUAUUGGGGUGGGGAUGCCUGGUGGGAUUGCUGCGCAAUAUGGUGGGCACGGUGGAGUUGGUGGUGUAACUGGAUAUAGUGGAUUUUCCGUGCCUUCGGUGGGUGGGAAUCAAUUGAAUUCGUCAUUAGGUAGUGGUGGUGGCGGCGUUGGUGUUGGUGGUCCAGGGAUGUCCGGUAUUGGCAGCCAAGGGAUGGGGUCUAAUUUAGGUGUUAGUGGUGGACUUGGUCCUUAUGGUGGCGGGACGCAUUAUGGUGGGCCUGGUUCUACUGGAUAUGGUGGGUUGGGUGGAGCUGGUGGAGGAUUGAGUGGUGUUGGGAGUGGAGUUGGUGGUGCUGGUCGUGGUUCUUUUUAUGGAUUGCCACCAAGCUCAGGUGGUAUGCCAACUGGAGAUUAUCAACAGGGGGCACACUAUGGCUUAUCUUCGUCUGGAUAUCAAAGCCAGCAUCAUCAGACAGCAGGAACCUCACCAGCUCCCAGAGUUCCAACUGGGGGAAUCUACCAAGGGGUGCCUCCUUACUAUUGAGGUAGAUUUUCUAAUUUAUUCUAAUAUUGCAUCAUUUUUUGAACAAAUGUGUCACUCCUUUCUACCUACAUUCUGCUGGUUCACCGUUCUCUCGUUGUACUCUCUUUUUGUGGUUUGUUUUAGGGAUUCUUGUCAAUUUUGGUGAUUGUUUAACCAUUCAUCACGUGAUCUGGAGUGAACAUGUUCUAUUGUAUUUUUUUAGUUGGAGUUAUAACUUGUUUGACAGUGAAUUCUUUCAUGGAUUUCUGCAUGAUUUGGGAGGUUGCAUGUUUUUGGUUUUGUUUUGGUGUUCAUUAAUAUGUCUGGUCAGUACCAUGCAUUUUUUGUUUUGUUUCAUUUUUUAUUACACUGUGCCAUUUUCAUACUUGUAUGUGAUGAACUGGUGCUUCAUACAAAGUGCAUCAUGGAUGGUUUAGUGCUUAUCGUUGUGUUUGUUGUUACCUUUCUCCCCCACUCUGUAUUAUUUGAACUUGUUGCUGAAUGAUACAUCGUAGAAGACUUUCCUAUAAUAAUUUCCAGAUUUAAGAAAGUGUUACCUCUGAGUUCUUCCAGCUUUUUAUUUGCAUGCAGAGUUAAUAUCGUACGCCAAUGUGCCUUAAAAGAUUUGAUUUUUUUUGAAUUUUGAGAAACUUGUUACCAUUUGAAUUGGUUGCAUGGUUCAAUUUGUUUCGGAUAAUACUUGGAAGUAAUUGGUGGAGAUAUGUUUUUUUCAUGUAGUGUAAAUGAGUCAGAAUUGAUGAUUGCAAUGUGCGGCAUUAGUAAGAAUAACAGUAUUGCUCUAUCUUUGCGCAACAUAGACCAUAUUUACAGGGGUUGACCUGUUUAUGUGCUUUUGUUCAUCCUGAUCGUUUUUGUUAUGUAAUUUUGGAGUUAGCCUCUGAUUUGGUCCCCAUGCUUGUGGGUUCAUUUAGCGAUUCUCUUGUUAGUCUACGCAGCCAGAAAGUCUUCUUUUGUUGUAGUCUGUUGUAUUUUUCUUUGUGCUGGUUCAUAUGAAGUCAUACAUCCUAUGAGAUGUUUUAUUUAUCUACUAUUCUAAAUUAAUGGGCAAGUUCUUUUUUGGAGGCUUCUGCUUCAUUUUUCUUAUGCACCAUCUACGGAUGAGAAUUAUGCUUUUACAACAUUUGGAUUGUAAACUAACAAAUUUUUUGCCUUAAGCUGAUAGCUGAAAGAAAGGGGUAAUCAACAGUAAAUCUUCAAAUUCUCUUCCUGGUUCUACCUGUGUUUGAUAUGUAUUUUAUGUGCAUCUACUUUGAUCACAUGAACCUAUGCUAUUCAUGUGAAUCUUCAAUAAUGCAUGAUUUACAUAUUUUUAACCUUCGUUCUCUUUGUAACAACAGCAGUAGUUUUUCUCACCGUUAUUGUAGUAUUCUAGAAAUUAUAAUUCCUUUUUUAUUUUUCCUUAUUGCGCUUGGUUGUUGGUUGUCUGAAUUUUGUCACUACUCAUUGUUGUUUUGCUCUGUGACAAGACCCUUUUUUUUGGGUGUAUCAUCUCUAGUGUCGGAGAGAAUUAUGGUGUGUUUGGUUACUUCUAUAUUGUCAUGGUGCUGCUGCUUCUUGGCUUAAAUUCUUGCCUUUUGUUUCUUGAGUUUUUAUGAUGUUUGAGCUUUGUUUUGCAAGGUGUAUGUGGAUUGACAUUUUAAGUUGUGAAUGGAUGUUUGGUUCAGGUGUGUGAGAGCUUGUUGGCGCAGUUGCUUUUUAUGGUUCUGGUGAUUUCGUGCAGACAAUAUGAACUCUGGCUUCAUGAUUUUGAUUUGCUGUGUAGUUUGGCUCUUCGAUACAUCUGCGCUUCAUGAUGUCAUCAAGUGAAAUGCUAGUAAUCUAAGUGACUGAGUAUUUUGUAUUUCUGAUCUAGAGCUUCUAUGCAAUUUGAGUCUGUACGAACUUAUUUAGAUUGCUAUGUGUUUUUAGGGAAAAAGAUAUGAAUUAGACUUUGACUUUAGUUGUUUGUUUUGCUGCGGGUGCAGCUGACUUUUGCUUAUGGCAUUUGACUUUAAUUGGUUCUGAUCUGUCUUUGGAGCAUCUGCCAUAUGUUUAGAUGCUAUGUUAUUUUUUAUGUAUUUGUUUGCCUUUUUUGGUUUCCUUGUGUAGUAUUCUGUCAAUUAGACAUUGCAUUUACAGUUGUCACCUUCCAGGCGUAAUCUAGUAAUCCACCACAAAUACAAAUCCUUGAUAAUUUUCUUUGAAGUGAGUUAGAGUGUGCAUUAGGUGAAUUAGACUAAAAGAGCAUUUUUUGGUUUCUCUCUUUGGGGCAAAAAGAAUGGAGGAAAUGAAAACGGAGGCACGAUAAGGAAAAUUGUCUACAUUAAAUUUUGAAAAUUUCAGUUGGAAGCUAAAUGUUAGGUAAGUGAAUUAUCUUCAUCUAGUGAAAAAACAUACAAUUAUGUGUUGCACUUGGAAAGACAACCAUUUAUGUGUUGCACUGACAUUUGAACUCUGAUUGCUUGACGGUAUCAUUUAUCGUGGACAAAUUGGAUGAAAGUUUUCUUGUUAAUCAGGUAUUUUUUGCACUCUGAUUCUUGUGGAAAAUUCUUGUAGUUCUUGAGUUGUGUCUUCUUGGAGUGGUCAACCAACCCCUGAUUGGCUUGUCCUAGGUCUCAACAUGAGUAAAAAUCAUGCAGUGUUCUAGCAAGCUAGUCAAAUUGAAUUGUUAUCAUUGGACACAAUAUUUUGCUAAUAGUUUUUGUUUUCUAUUUACAAUUUAGGCAUCAGAAGAUAUUUCUGUGAGUAGAUUUUGUGGCUUAGCCUGAGUACCGAUGCAUCUUUUUGAUGCUUAGCACGAGAGGUGGUGUAUCUUAAUGCCUGGCCUUAAGAAUUUGCUUUCUUAAUCGGGCUAUUUAUUCUUCAACUCUGAAGAAUUUUGGAUUUUUAGUAAAUAAACUAUGGUAUAAUUGUUAUGUGUUCCUGUUGACAUGUUUUUAGAAAUUGAAGUGGCGCUUGUAGGUAUUUUGUUUUACUCAAGUUCUGCUCUCUCAUCUGUCUCCUUCAAAUGGAACCUUAAGCUCUUAGUCUUAUGUUCUUUUGGUGAAAUGUGUUGGUUGGUAUACAUUCUCUGUUUUAGAAAAUUUUCUAUUGAAAGUGGAUGAGAUUGAACUGGUAAUCAUUUGGAGAAGUUCUUUAGAUGCCCAAGUUGGAAAGAAGAUGACACAUCAGCAAACCUGUUGGUAAGCCAAUAGUCGUAUGUAGACUUUAUCUAAGACCGAGAACUCAUAUCUCUAAGGCAGAAACUGCUGGAAAAAUGAUCAACAAAAAUCAGAACAGGAAAAGCAAAGAGAAAGCAGAGAAAAUUUGAGAUUGAUAAUAAGAAUGAAUUAGAAAUUUUAGGAGUCACUUCUUUGUACCAUUAGUCAUUUUAUCACACUAACCCUAAAAAGACGUCAAAUCUGCAGGAAUUCAAGAGGGUAAUAAAAUAUUUGCACCCUGCCGUUUGUCUCUAGGUUGACUGGUUUGUGAUUCCAUUUGUGGCCAAAACUCUCCUCCCUAGUUUCCAGUGACAUCAAUAAUGGACAUGUCAGAGGGUUCAUUAUAGUCUUUUCAGUUUGUUAGCGUUGUUGUUCGGUCUAGUGCCUUUUUUGGGUAAACGGGGAAUUCUGCCAUGUUGCUUUAUUUGUUGAUUUACUCUCAUGACAGUGUUCCUAUGACUGAAUCGGUAAUUGUCCGAGUGUGCUACUCCCUUCUUGAUGACUUGAUGAUGCCGUUGUCCUAUAAUAAUAAGCUGUAAAUGUCCUUUGGAAUCACCCUUUGGUCAUAUAACUGACUUGGGGUGGCUAACAAUGGCUAAUGCUAUAUUGGCCCCAUCUGGGUAUGUUUGAAAUUGCUAUCCUAUAAGGUUCAGAAGUCCCUUUCCUCUUUGAGAUUGUGAAACAGUCUUUGCAUAAAUCUGCUGGAGCAAUCAAGGUCGCGGCAACUUGCCAAUCAUCUGGGCGACUUGUUUGCCCGAAGAAAGUAUACCAUCACAUCAUGGGGCGGUUAUAGAGGAAGUCUGGAAUAAGAGUGUCAUUGAAUGUAAUGUACAUUUCGAGAAACUCUUGGGCGGAUGUAAUCUGUUACCAUAUAUGAAAAUGUUCCCAGAUUGGAAUAUCUUCUAGUCGAUUGUAUGGAUGUUGAAUUUUUGUGUAGUCGCGUCAUCUUUUGAUUGAAGAAAUAAAGCAGCAGCAGAAGCAGCAAUGCUGUUAACUGGAUGACUAGAAAGGCUCAUUCCUAGUGAUGCGGGAUAAAAGCUCUCCAGAUGGACAAGAGAGGAAGUGGGGACAAAGAGGGAUGUGUAAAAAUAUCCACGUUCACUGUGGUUUAGGGGUUGAACUUGCUGCUAGCUCAAAUUUCUCAAAAUUUUGUCACUCGUGAUUUUGAUUUGCAAAUUAAUAAAUCUCGGUAGUGUCGUGCAGGUCAUGACAGAAGGUUAAAACAUGCUACGUUACAUAAUAAACAAAAUAUCAAAAAAAUUGUUGGAUUGUCAAAUGGCAAAUGCCGGUUGGUUAUCGGUUUUUUUUUUUUUUUUUUUGUUGGGGGGGGGGGGGGGGCGCGAUGUGGCGGCGGGGUUUCUUGGGCUUGGUGUGGUUUUGUAUACCGGGCAAACAAAGUCGUAUAUUAGUUAAUGUGUUAUGCGGGCUGAAUUUCUAAGAAUAUUAUUGUUAAAAUUUAAAGUUGUUAUAAAAUUGGUGUAGUUUGGGGAGUGUUUCUGAUUUAAGGAUCAUCGCACUUUCGAUACGAGGCUUUCAAUAAAAAUGUUUUUAAUUUUCAUUUAUUUUGAGUUGCUUUAGUUUUCUUUUUUUUUUUAAUUUUUUGCAAAAGCUUCGGGUUUUUUUUUUUUUUUUGGCUUGCUUUAGUUUUCUCAAUUUUCUCUUUUUUGUUUUUUGUUUGUUUGGCAAGCUAAUGAGCGGCUAAGCAUUUACCAUCGGGACCAGUCAUCGUGAUGUGAUCAGGCUGGUCUGCGGCACAUUUUUUUAAAAUUUUUUUUUAUUUUUUCCUGACGCCGCAAAUUUGAUUGGUGGCGUCAGUUAUGGACCGUUGAUCACAAUGUGAUCAAUGGAUGCAGAUUGAGGCCAAAAUAAUUGUCUAAAAUAAUUUUUUAAAAAGUGAAACGGCAUUUUUUUUAAGUAAAAUCGCAAAUCUCAAUUGCGGCGAUAUUUGUCUUAGAUACGGUCAAACUCCGGUGUUCGAUCCUUCUGUUGAUGAUGACAAUGAUGACGACCACACGCUUUGAACAAGUUUAUGCACCACUUCGGAGGUUCGAACGAUUACAAUUAGGAUAAAUUCUAUCACACGAAAGGAUUCAUUGCAAAUGUGGCUGUUCUAUCACUUCGCGCGAUAAGGGCAAGAGGGGCAUUGAUAGGUGAUAUUUAGAUUUUUUGGAUUUUUCUUAUCGAACCUUUUGUUUUAUUAUCAUUUAAGUUCAUAUGCUAAUUAUUACAUCCUAUAAAUAUUGUUCAACGCUGCAUUAUUUAAAUUAACAUUCACAUUAAAAAUUUCAAAAAUAUGACUUAGGCAAAUUUUAUUAGUAUUUUAAUAGCAUACUUGAUUAUCAUCUAAAUUUAUAAAAUUAACAUAGUAUCGCAUAUUAAAUUUUUGACAAUUCUGGUUUAUAAUAGGAUUUUAGUAAUGGGGUUUUUAGUAAUAUGGUUUAAGGAUUUUGAUUUUAAGAUUACGGUUAAAGGGUUUAUGUUUAUAUUAAGGGUUACACUGUGAGGACCUGAAAAUUGAGAUUUCAUGUUAGGUAAAACGUUAAACCUAAACCCUAAUUAAAAAAAAAGGUUACGUUAUAUGAAAAAAAAAGCUUCCUCGCUGGUUAGUUUUAUUAAAAAAAAAAAGAAAAGAAUCUAUCGCCGCUCAGGAGUGGCGAUACAAAAAAAAAAAAUCGCCACUCAUGGAAAACAAAGAAGAAGAAAAACCUUUCAUGAGCGGCGAAGCUUUUGCAAAAAUUUUUUUUUUAAAAAAGAAAACUUAAGCAAUCAAAAAUAAAUGAAAAUUAAAAGCAUUUUUAUUGGAAGCCUCACAUCGAAUUUGCGGCGACCCCUAAUUCGAAACCCACCCUCAAACAGCACCAAUUUUGGGACAAUUUUUAUUUUUGACAAUAUUGCAAGAAAUUCGCGUUAUUCGGUGAUAUAAAAAUAAUACUACAGUUUUUAAAAUAUAAACCCAUAAAUUCUAGAAUACGCUUUUUCCUUUACACACUGAAAUGGGUUUUGGUCUUGGGUUAAGCUGAAACAUACCGAGUUAAUGUAUUGCAUUUUGUAUUUAACAGGUUUCCAGCUCUAUUUCGUGCCAGCGGGGAGAAUGAAGUAUUUUAAAUUAAGGUCGAGUGUCUUUGAUAUCUUAGACUCAGGAGGAUACCGCUCGUUUAUGGGAUAUGAUCAGUACAACUUGACGGGCUAUGGCACUUAAUCAGCAAGCGUUUUAACAGCAGUUCUCGUGAUUUCUGAAUCAGUAGUGUCAGUUCCACCAAAAAUAAAAUGCCCUCGUCUCCUGAGUGAAGAGCACAAACGGCAACCAGAUUGUUCGAAUUUGCAAAAACUUGGAGACCAAGAAUACCCCCCGCCCCAACCCCGGCUCCCUCCAGAACCUGCCAAUUUCACCAUAUACUACUAGUACAUUAGUCAUCCGGCAACCCUCUUCCCAAUUUGGCCAUCUACUCCAUCCAGGGUUUUACUUUUCCACUAUUAGUAAUACAUACACCUCAGGCGGGCUGAACUUAUCCAUUUUUUCACAGAGAUCAACGGUUGAUUUCUGAUUUCUUACUGUCCUUCGGCAAACUGCAGAAAUGAACCAAAUCAAGGUUUCCAAGGAUUUAGACUCUGAAAGAAAGAGAAUAUUCUCUUCAAAGCUCAAGCUCUCCAAUGGCUGCUCUUCCAUCACUCCACCCACUCCUCCUAGAGUCAAUCUUGAGUCAUUUUCCCUGCACCGACUCCAUCAGAUGCAUUCCACCGUUACCGCUAACCCAAAUCCUGAUGAUCUCAAGGAAACCAGAAAACUUGAAGCUUCAUUGAACGUCGAAAACCAAGAAAAACAAAUCCUUCACAACAUUUUGCACUCCUUCACGAAAUCCCGAUUAGUUGAAAUCCUUCAGGAAGCUGCCGUUGCCCACCCCGCCAUUCUCCAUGCCGUUCUUUCCAUCGUUGAUGACAACCCAUCCCACCGCAAGAUCUUUAUCAGAAAUCUUGGCCCUAAAACCACCCCUGAAAAUCUCCACAGCUUCUUCUCAAAUUACGGAGAAGUUGAAGAAGCUAAAGUCAUCUUUGACAGGACCACUGGAUAUAGUAAGGGCUAUGGUUUUGUUACUUUCAAGAAUGCCGAGUCUUUCUUGCUUGCCCUGGAAAACCCCAGCAAGAAAAUUGAUGGAUUCGUCAGUUUUACCAGCAUUUGCGUUGGGCCCGAUCAUUCAUCAGGGAAGACUGAUGAUAGUAGUAUCAGUAGCGAUGAGAUGGAGAAAAUGAGAAUGAAAAGGAAAAUUCGGGUGGAGAAUGUGCCAGCCGAGAUGAGUUCUGAGACUCUGUUGAGUUUUUUUGAGAAGUACGGUGAAAUUGAAGAAGGGCCUUGGGGGUUUGAUAUGGGGACAGGGAAAUCAAGAGGGUUCGCUUAUCUUUUGUAUAAGAAUGCGGAAAGUGCAAAAGCUGCUUUGGCUGAGAGGGUGAAAUUUGUUGAUGGUUUCCGGCUGGUUUGCAAAAUGGUGUUGAGGGAAAGGGAGAGAAGUAAUAGGAACCCAACGGAUAUAGUGGAGCCACUGCCUUCGCCUCCGAGAACUUUGGUUUUGCCUGUUUCCUAUUACUAUUGUGUCUAUUAUUCUCGUCGAUUGGUUCCCUACAAUUAUUACUAUCAGAAUGAGCCUGUUAUGGGCGGCAGUAGCGGCCAAUUGGGGCCUUGGACUGAAGGACAAUCAUCAUCAGCUUUACGUCCUGCUCCUCGGAUUGCUGGUGCUGCUAAUUCUGGAGCUUCUUCGCCUUCUGGAAGAUAGAGUCCGUGCUGCAGAUUUUGAAGGACUAAAAUGUUGAGGCUGGUUUGUUGCAAUCUUGUACAGCAGAAUGAGUUCAGAGCACUAUUUCUAAUCUUUACUUGGUGACAGCGUUCGUUAAAGAUGUGAUUAAGAGAUAGUAGUAGUAUAUUAGUAUUAGCUAUUGACAUUAAGGAGGAAGAGGUACACAACCAGGUUAUUUUGGAUUUUGUAGUAGGUUGAAGUACUGCAUAGCCCUCUUUUUUAUUUUUGUUUAGCAUUGAGGGUAUUGCUUAAGAGAUAGCAUGCACAAAUGAGAGGGAUUUUUUUUUUCUGGCUUAAAAUGCUUGUUCAAUAUUAUUUCAUUAAGUGUGUGUAUAUAUAUAUAUAUAUAUAACUAUAUAUACACACACACAUACACACAUAUAUGUUGGCCUAGUAAAGUUUUACAAAGGGAGAUAUACUGCGUUUAAAUAAUAAUUGGAUCAAUUGCGUAAGGAUCAAGUACAUCUACUUAUGUUGUUCUUGUUCUCGUAUUAUAUGUUGUACAUGCAUCCUCUGGUUUCUCUGCAUUCAGUGUUAGCUUGGACUUGCAACUUAUGCAAAAUCACUAAUUUAGAUGAAUUAUAGAUAUUAUAGCUAGUCAAAUCUAUUGGAUUCUUGAUGGAAAGUUGGCCUUCUUUGGAUUGUGACUUUUUGUAAAAAAAAGUUUUUUCGUUUUCGGUGAACACACAUUUUUACUAGGUCUUCUGUUCUCAUGGAAGGGGAAAAAAUUAAGAAUAACGUGAAGGAAAAAUAAUUAGAAAGACGAAAAAUAAUCUAGAAGACAAAUAAAUAAAAAAGGCAGGGUAGGUCCUUAGCCUCUGCUUGACCCAAAUUAAAGGUAAAAAGAACAUUCCCAAAGGCCAAAAGCAAAUUCAAAAAAAAAAAAAAAAAAAAAAAAGAGUCCAGUCAACCCCUAUAUGGUAUAUACCACGACAAGGUAAUUAAAAGCAAAGGAAAACAGCAAAAGCCUUAUCUAAUAGAGUAUCAAUUUCCAGUUCCAAAUGAUUAACCUAUUGAGGAAUUGAUAAUAACCCUCUGAUAAAUAUAGACAUUAGUAAUUGCUAAAUUGAUUCAAAUCACUCCUGCUCAAUAAUUCAUGGGGGCCACAAUAAAUUUACCAACACCACCACCACCACCACCACCACCCCCAAAAAAAAAA